rfam:Cyanobacterium BACL30 MAG-120619-bin27 contig11128_1_120619-bin27, whole genome shotgun sequence.
CGAUAGCAUCUAAUUUCCGGUUCCAGUGGGGAUCAGCCACUGGAGGUAAGGGGGAAAGGUCGGUGAAAAUCCGGCACUGUCCCGCAGCUGUGAAGGCUCUGGCCCGCGAAUCUGCUCCAACUUUGGGGCUUGCUUGCGAUCCACUGCCAAGUCAG